UACAGAGGGGGCAAGCGUUGUUCGGAAUUACUGGGCGUAAAGGGCGCGUAGGCGGCCUUCUAAGUCGAACGUGAAAUCCCCGGGCUCAACCCGGGAACUGCGUCCGAGACUGGAAGGCUCGAAUCCGGGAGAGGGAUGUGGAAUUCCAGGUGUAGCGGUGAAAUGCGUAGAUAUCUGGAGGAACAUCGGUGGCGAAGGCGGCAUCCUGGACCGGUAUUGACGCUGAGGCGCGAAAGCUAGGGGGAGCAAACGGG
rnacentral:rRNA from 1 species